AUUGAACGCUGGCGGAAUGCUUUACACAUGCAAGUCGAGCGGCAGCGCGGUCUUCGGACUGGCGGCGAGCGGCGAACGGGUGAGUAAUACAUCGGAACAUGCCCAGUCGUGGGGGAUAACACUUCGAAAGAAGUGCUAAUACCGCAUACGUCCUGAGGGAGAAAGCGGGGGAUCGCAAGACCUCGCGCGAUUGGAGUGGCCGAUGUCAGAUUAGCUAGUUGGUGGGGUAAAGGCCUACCAAGGCAACGAUCUGUAGCUGGUCUGAGAGGAUGAUCAUCCACACUGGGAGUGGGACAAGGACGAGACUCCUAGGGGAGGCAGCAGUGGGGAGUUUUGGACAAGGGGGGAAUCCCUGAUCCAGCCAUUCGGGGGGAGUGAAGAAGGCCUUCGGGUUGUAAAGCUCUUGCGGCAGGAACGAAACGGCGAGCUCUAACAUAGCUCGCUAAUGACGGUACCUGAAGAAGAAGCACCGGCUAAGUACGUGCCAGCCGCCGCCGUAACAC
rnacentral:rRNA from 1 species